rnacentral:rRNA from 1 species
GACGAACGCUGGCGGCGUGCCUAAUACAUGCAAGUUGAGCGCUGAAGGUUGGUACUUGUACCAACUGGAUGAGCAGCGAACGGGUGAGUAACGCGUGGGGAAUCUGCCUUUGAGCGGGGGACAACAUUUGGAAACGAAUGCUAAUACCGCAUAAAAACUUUAAACACAAGUUUUAAGUUUGAAAGAUGCAAUUGCAUCACUCAAAGAUGAUCCCGCGUUGUAUUAGCUAGUUGGUGAGGUAAAGGCUCACCAAGGAGAUGAUACAUAGCCGACCUGAGAGGGUGAUCGGCCACAUUGGGACUGAGACACGGCCCAAACUCCUACGGGAGGCAGCAGUAGGGAAUCUUCGGCAAGGGACGAAAGUCUGACCGAGCAACGCCGCGUGAGUGAAGAAGGUUUUCGGGUCGUAAAACUCUGUUGGUAGAGAAGAACGUUGGUGAGAGUGGAAAGCUCAUCAAGUGACGGUAACUACCCAGAAAGGGACGGCUAACUACGUG